UACGAAGGGGGCUAGCGUUGCUCGGAAUUACUGGGCGUAAAGCGUGCGUAGGCGGUCCGCGAAGUCUGAUGUGAAAGCCCCGGGCUCAACCUGGGAACUGCAUUUGAAACUGGCGGGCUUGAGUAUGGCAGAGGGGGGUGGAAUUCCGCGUGUAGCAGUGAAAUGCGUAGAGAUGCGGAGGAACACCGAUGGCGAAGGCAGCCCCCUGGGCCAAUACUGACGCUCAGGCACGAAAGCGUGGGGAGCGAACAGG
rnacentral:rRNA from 1 species